rnacentral:rRNA from 1 species
UACGAAGGGGGCUAGCGUUGCUCGGAAUCACUGGGCGUAAAGGGUGCGUAGGUGGUUUGUUAAGUCUGCUGUGAAAGCCCCGGGCUCAACCUGGGAAUGGCAGUGGAUACUGGCAAGCUAGAGUGCGGUAGAGGGGUGUGGAAUUCCCGGUGUAGCGGUGAAAUGCGUAGAGAUCGGGAGGAACACCGAUGGCGAAGGCAGCUCGCUGGGACGGUACUGACGCUGAGGCGCGAAAGCGUGGGGAGCGAACAGG